GCUUGUCUCAAAGAUUAAGCCAUGCAUGUCUAAGUAUAAACGAUUUUAUACGUGAAACUGCGAAUGGCUCAUUAUAUCAGUUAUAGUUUAUUUGAUGGUCCUUACUAUUUGGAUAACCGUAGUAAUUCUAGAGCUAAUACAUGCAUCAAGCCCUGACUUCGGAAGGGGUGUAUUUAUUAGAUGGAAACCAAUGCGGGGCAACCCGGAUUCAGGUGAUUCAUAAUAACUUUCGGAUCGAUCUUCGGAUCGAUGCAUCAUUCAAGUUUCUGCCCUAUCAGCUUUGGAUGGUAGGGUAUUGGCCUACCAUGGCUUUAACGGGUAACGGAGAAUUAGGGUUCGAUUCCGGAGAGGGAGCCUGAGAAACGGCUACCACAUCCAAGGAAGGCAGCAGG
rnacentral:rRNA from 1 species